rnacentral:rRNA from 1 species
GGCGCAGCCUGAUGCAGCGACGCCGCGUGAGUGAAGAAGGCCUUCGGGUCGUAAAGCUCUUUUCUGCGUGACGAGCAAGGACGGUAGCGCAGGAAUAAGUCUCGGCUAACUACGUGCCAGCAGCCGCGGUAAUAAUC